rnacentral:rRNA from 1 species
UACGUAGGUGGCAAGCGUUGUCCGGAUUUACUGGGCGUAAAGGGCGUGCAGGCGGUCUGUUAAGUCUAGGGUGAAAGCUCCCGGCUCAACUGGGAGAGGUCCUUGGAUACUGGCGGACUUGAGGGAGGCAGAGGAAAGUGGAAUUCCCGGUGUAGUGGUGAUAUGCGUAGAUAUCGGGAGGAACACCAGUGGCGAAGGCGGGUCGUCUGGGCCGAUACUGACGCUGAGG